CCACAUAAGGAAUACAGAGAAAGGACAGAUGGAGAAUAGUAAGCACAACUUCCAUUUUCCACAUACACAACAAUUCCACAAACACACAGAACACCCCUCUUCAUAUACUCCCAAUUUCUAUUCACUAACAGAGCACACCACUCCAUCAUCAAUACGCACUCUAUUUUUGGAAGAAGACGGAAAAAAGGAUUUUUCAUUGGAGGAUCCUUCUUCAUUCAUAAACACAGGUACACAGAGAGUCCAGAAAAGGAGCCCAUCUUCUAUUCUAUACAAAAAAUCACAUACACACGCACAGAAAGGAGAAAUCAAAAGAAAUAGGGGAAGCUUGCGAUUUCCGGUGAUAAACAGCGAAGCCUGUACGAGAUUUGUCGUUCUUCUUGAGUUUUUCUGGUGAACCUUUCAGCGGAAGUAGUUCACAAGUCAUUUUCUGCUCAGCCUCUAUAGAUGAAAGGGAAAUGGAAGAUUGUUUCUUCGAUUUCGAGGAGACUGGUGAACCUCCCAAGCUUAUAAAAAUCCACUUACUGACCUUCGUGCAGUACGGUAAGAGGCCUAGUCAGCAUCACAAUAAGCAGCGAGAGAGAAGAAGGGAUGUUGCAUAAAUUGACUGAGAGUCAAAACAACAAAACACAGGUCCAGUCAAGUAGAACUUGACGAAGGAUCUAACGAAGAAGAAGCUGGAGAAAAGUGUGAAACAUCAAAUUCAUUGAUUAAAUCUAAGGUGAAUAUGAAGAGUGACGAUAAUAAACAUGAGUGGAAUCCAUAGCUGGUGGAGUUCUGGUGGUAAACCAGAAAAUGCUAAAGAAGUAGUGACUCUAUCCGCCAUUAUAGAGAUAGGUCAGAUGAAGGAAAUUGAUAAUCAAGAAGAUGAUUUAUAUGCAAUGACCUACUGUUCUGGUACCAUGUAAAACAAGAGACAAUAUUUGAGAAUUUUUCUUCUCUGUAAAUUCCUUGACAAUCACAUUUAUUUAUACAAGCUAAUGGAAUGAAAAAGAACCUUAUCUUCUAAGCUAAACAAUAAAAAUAAAAAGAAGAAGCUUCUCUUCUAAGAUAAAAAAUAAAAAUAAAGGAACCUUUUAUUCUAAGCUAAUCAAUAAAAGAAAUCAUUCAGCUGUCGUUGGCCCAUGUUCUUGUUUGCUGCUGCAUUGCUGUUGGGCCGCCUAUGUGUCCCAACUGUUAGCCCAAAUGUUCAUUUCAUCUUUCCAUAGAGUGAGAGAGAGGGUGAGAUGGUGAAUAUGAACCAUCAUGAUUUCUAACACAGGUAACAAUUCAAACUAAAAGGGAUAUUGCUCAAAUAAUCUCUGAUGUCCCUUAUGUUUCAGAGGUGACAUCAAAUCUUUUGAGUCUCAGUCAGUUGCAACAGAAAGGGUAUGAGAUUGUCAUUAAAAAUGGAAUUUGUCAGAUUCAAGAUGACAAUUUUGGCUUAAUUGCACAAGUUAAAAUGACUGCAAAUAGAAUGUUUCCUCUCUAUCUCAAUAAUAUACAACAAUCAUACUACUUAGAAAAAUAAAGAGAUGAUGCUUGGUUGUGGUAUUUUCGAUUUGGGCAUCUGAAUUUUGUUGGAUUAAGAACCUUGCAACAGAAGAAUAUUGUGAUUGGUCUUCCUAAAAUUUUAUCUCCAUUUGAAAUUUAUAAAGAGUGUAUGGUUAGCACGCAGUUUUGCAGUUGUUUUCCACAAGAGGUUACAUGGAGAGCAAAGAAGACACUUGAACUUGUCCAUUAUGAUACUUGUGGACCAAUAACACUUUUUAAUGGAGGUAAAAGCUACAUAAUUGCCUUCAUUAAUGAUUUUAAUCAAAAAAGUUGGGUAUACUUUUUGCAGGUAAAAUAUGAAUCUUUUAAGAGCUUUAAAGUACCUGUUGAAAAAGAGAUUGGCAGUCCAAUAAAAGUUCUUCAUUCAGAUCGUGGGAGAGAAUAUAACUCACAUGAAUUUAUAAAUUUUUGUGAGCUUUAUGGAAUCAAGAGGCAACUUACAGCAGCCUACUCGCCCCAACAAAAUAGAGUCUCUGAUAGGAAAAAUUGCACUAUAAUGAACAUAGUGCAGAGCAUUUUGACAAGCAGUUGUGUUUCUAGAAGUUUUUAGCUUGAAGCAGUCAAUAGGAGUAUUCACAUCCCAAAUAGAUGCCCCACAUUUGCAGUAAAAAUAUUACUCCAGAGGAAGCAUGGAGAGGAAAGCUACCAGUCGUAGGUCACUUCAGAAUAUUUGAGUGCAUUGCAUAUGCCCAUAUUCCUGAUCAAAAGAGAAAGAAGCUAGACGACAAGGAAGAAAAAUGUAUUUUUCUCGGUGUUAGUGAUCAAUCAAAAUCUUUCAAGCUUUAUAAUCCUAACACUAAGAAAAUAUUGAUUAGUUGGGAUGUCAUUUUUGAUGAAAAUUAGUUUUGGUCGUGGAAUAAAAAUUCCCCGGGAGAACAAAUUCCAGUUUUCCUUGAUGAAGAAUAUAGUAAAGAAGCAAUUCAACCACAACAAGAAGUUCCAAUAGUUGCCCAAGACUAUAAUCCUAAAGUUCUGAAAUUUCACCAGUUAUGGGAGAGCAGAUAUUCACGUGCCCCUCGUAUUCGAAAAAGGCCAACAUGGAUGACAAAUUAUGAAGUAAGAGGAAUUGAUCAAUCUGAAUAUUAUCUCACUCAUUUUUCUCUAUUUUCAGAUUAUGAUCCAACAAAUUUUGAAAGUGCUGUCAAAGAUGAAAAAUGGCGAUGUAGACACAUAAUUUUAUCCCGUCAAAAAUAUUUCUUAUUCCGAUAUCACACAAUUUAACCCCAUUUUUAUAAUUUUUCCUAAGAAAAUAAAUAACCACCUCAUCUUUUACUUAUUUAUGUAUUUAUUUUUGUUUUUGUUUUGUUUUAUCCAAAUAACAAGUCAUAACAAACUUUGUCCCAUUCUAAUAUUCCAGCAACCCACCCAAGCAAAAAUGGACGCCUAACCUCUACCUCUCCAAUUAAAAAGCAACACCUCACCUCUCACCUAACCACCCCAUACCCCUACCCUUACCCUACCCCACGUAACCCCUCCCUUUUCUUGGCCAUAAAGAAAUACACAAUAUACAUAAGGACACCACCUCAAGGGGGGCCCACGGUAAUAAAGAGAAGGGACACAGAUCACUGAGGGUCUUCUUCAUUAUUGGUAUAUACACUAACAGCUUCCAAAAAAAAUGGAGAAGCAGAGAUAGGCACAAACAACACUAGAGAGACUCGAUCCUUUUCAUCCCCAUUUUUUCUUCUUGACAACAACACAUACUAUUCACCCUUCUUCUCCAUCCAUACACACACAAACUAGUGAAAGAAAAAAAAAACUGGGAUCAUCUUCUUCUCUUCAAAGCACAGACAAACCUUUAGAUAGAAGAUAAAAUGGAGGGGGUUCGAGAUCAGUCAGAAGAGAAAGCAGUAAAUCAGCAAUUUUAGUGUGUUUUGGGCAAGAUCUUUGCUGUAACUUUAUCCAACAUGUGUCGAUUUGUUAGACCGAUCCCGAAAUCGUUGAAACCUCUUCGUUUCUUAUGACUUCCAAGCGAAUCCGACCUAAAAACAUUGAAUUGCGCCAAUGUCCAUCUUUACCCGCUAUUUCGGCUGUCACUGGAGCUCGCCGAAGCUCGGUCCAAGUUAAGUUUCAAUUAUCUGUCAGGUGGUUGGGGUUUUUGGGUUUGUCUAUUUUUGGGUUCGUUGUUGAUAUCGAGUUUUGAGGUUUCGUGAUCAAAUUGCGUCAUAGUUCAUGGUUGGGUUUUGUAUAACAAAGUUUGUCUCACUGGUUUUGAAGCUAUCCGAUUAGCUUUUCUUUAUACCGAGUUGGAUUCAUCGGAAUCGAGGUUUCCUAUUCGAGAUUCCAAGUACGGAUCUUUUUUAACAUUAUUAUCAAUCGAAAUCGACUAUCAAAAGGUCCAAUUCUAUUCGUUUCCUCUUCUACUAUAUUGUUUACUA